rnacentral:rRNA from 1 species
GGUGAAUGCUGGCGGCGUGGAUGAGGCAUGCAAGUCGAAUGGGUUUAGACCCAUGGCAGACGAGGUAGGAACACGUAGGUACAUACCGAGAAGUCGGGGAUAAUCUGGAGAAAUUCAGGAUAAUACUCGAUGGUCCCUUCGGGGUAAAGAUUUAUCGCUUCUUGAAUGGCCUGCGUUCUAUCAGCUUGUUGGUAAGGUAACGGCUUACCAAGGCUACGACGGAUAGGGGAGGUGAGAGCCUGACCCCCACCGAUGGAACUGCGACACGGUCCAU